rnacentral:Y_RNA from 1 species
GGCUGGUCCAAUGGUAGUGGGUUAUCAGAACUUAUUCACAUUAGUGUCACUAAAGUUGGUAUUCAACCCCCCACUGCUAAAUUUGACUGGCUUUUA